AACAACCUAUGAAUAUAAUAACAGCAGCGUCAAAGGUCAGAAUACGUGUGAUGUGUAACGGGACACAAACGGCAAAAAUACUGAAGCACGACACAACCGAUGUACCAAAACAUACUCUUUGAACCUGAACUCGAGGUCAAGACUGAGCCACCAGAUCCAGCACUGAACGAUCCAGACUCAACCAACCAGACGGCAAUCUGAGACAAACACCUCCAAACAGCCGACCCCAGCGAAGCACCUGUGCCGACCCAUCCUCCCCUGCUUCUGGUUGGGCCCGAAGCCCUUCAUAGGCAUCCUGGCAGUCUGGCUGCUUCUCCUUACUCUUCUUCAGUUCAGUGAGCACUGAUU